rnacentral:rRNA from 1 species
GACGAACCGAGCGAACGUUGUUCGGAAUCACUGGGCUUAAAGGGCGCGUAGGCGGGCUGUCAAGUCUGGGGUGAAAUCCCACGGCUCAACCGUGGAACUGCCUUAGAUACUGACGGCCUCGAGGGGGAUAGGGGCGAGCGGAACUGUGAGUGGAGCGGUGAAAUGCGUUGAUAUUCACAGGAACUCCGGUGGCGAAGGCGGCUCGCUGGAUCUUUUCUGACGCUGAGGCGCGAAAGCUAGGGGAGCAAACGGG